UUGAACGCUGGCGGAAUGCUUUACACAUGCAAGUCGAGCGGCAGCGCGGGGGCAACCCUGGCGGCGAGCGGCGAACGGGUGAGUAAUACAUCGGAACGUACCCAGUUGUGGGGGAUAGCCCGGCGAAAGCCGGAUUAAUACCGCAUACGACCUGAGGGAGAAAGCGGGGGCUCGCAAGGCCUCGCGCGAUUGGAGUGGCCGAUAUCUGAUUAGCUAGAUGGUGAGGUAAAGGCUCACCAUGGCGACGAUCAGUAGCUGGUCUGAGAGGAUGAUCAGCCACACUGGGACUGAGACACGGCCCAGACUCCUACGGGAGGCAGCAGUGGGGAAUUUUGGACAAUGGGCGAAAGCCUGAUCCAGCCAUUCCGCGUGAGUGAAGAAGGCCUUCGGGUUGUAAAGCUCUUUCAGACGGAAAGAAAUCGGGCGGGUGAAUAGCCUGCCUGGAUGACGGUACUGUCAGAAGAAGCACCGGCUAACUACGU
rnacentral:rRNA from 1 species